rnacentral:rRNA from 1 species
UACGUAGGCAGCAAGCGUUGUUCGGAAUUACUGGGCGUAAAGAGUGUGUAGGCGGUGCUCUAAGUUCGGUGUGAAAUCUCCCGGCUUAACUGGGAGGGUGCGCUACAAACUGUCUGACUAGAGUGUGGGAUGGGAGAGUGGAAUUCCUGGUGUAGCGGUGAAAUGCGUAGAUAUCAGGAGGAACACCGGUGGUGUAGACGGCUCUCUGGACCAUAACUGACGCUGAGACACGAAAGCGUGGGUAGCAAACAGG